CACAGGUAGAAUACAGUAAGGACUAGGGCUUCUGCUUAGAAUUACCAUGGGCAACUAUUUACUGACUUGGGACUGCCUACCUGUGACCAAAAGAGCAUGGGAUUAGAACCCAGAGAGUCCAGGCCUCAGUCACCACUCUGACACCUAGUAGGAUGCUGACGAUACGAACCAGCUGUGACAACUCAACAAUCAAGGCUAACCAGAUUUCCUGUGAUAGUCACAGUCCGAGCCGGUGGGAAAGGACAUAAUUUUUCAGUAAAACCACUUCGCCGGUCCUGAUGCACCGAAAACCAUUGCAUUUGACAGACCACGUGUUAAGAACUCCUCGUCUCAACCC